AAUCGCUACUACGCCCGCCGCCACGCUCGUCGGCUAGACGCCCACAAGGCUGCAGGCGGCGCGCCGCACGCCCCACGGCAGCGCCAAUACGGCUCAAUCCUGAGGAGGGUCAGACGCAUCACCAUCUUUCCAGUGGAAAAUCAAUUCAUCAUCUCCUUUAGGUGCUCGGCGGGAGGGCAUAGCAAAGGUGCAUCGGCGGUGAAAGGAGAAUCUUUCCGUUUCAUGAUGCGAUGUUACUUGGAGUAAAGCAAUGGGCAAAAUGAGAAGUGCUUUUACUUUCUUUUACAAGUAUGACCGUUCCAGGUGGCGUCGAAGCACAUUGUUGUUGUGAAGAUCACAAGCACAUUCCCUCAAGGAAACAAAUAUGGCUUCACCAAAGACAAAGCACUACAAGAGGGCGAGACCCAUUGAGAGCAACUAAGAAAUGGAUCUUGAUGCACUCAAGACCGAUGUGCCCCAUCAUGAACCGAGGGACCUUGUGACUGAAGUUCAUAACCCUAUCCCCUUAAAACAAACCCGCUACUACUAGGAUGCAUGUUUAGUGGACUAUGUAGAGUUGAAGAAAAAGCCCAAGGCUGCAGGAUUAGCCGGGGAAUGGUCGCUUCUCUCCCGGUGUCUCCAAUUCCCUCGUAUUCCCCGUACAUCUUAGGUUAUCACCUGUUUGAUGUGCUAGCAUGCCAACUAGAAGAUGCGACGGUUAACGGCGGAGAUUGCUGAAAACUGAGUAGUAUAUAUAGGUAGGAAAUAUUAUUCGCUCGAAUAAAUGUUGGUGGAGUAUUUAUGUUAUUUACGUGGUGAGUGUCCAAGAA